rnacentral:rRNA from 1 species
GUCGACGAGAAUCUGUGGAACGAGGAUUCGUCCAAGUGAAGCAGAGGACAGUGGCGGACGGGUGAGUAACGCGUGAGGAACCUGCCUUUCAGAGGGGGACAACAGUUGGAAACGACUGCUAAUACCGCAUGACACAUAGAUGUCGCAUGGCAUUUAUGUCAAAGAUUUAUCGCUGAAAGAUGGCCUCGCGUCUGAUUAGCUAGUUGGUGAGGUAACGGCCCACCAAGGCGACGAUCAGUAGCCGGACUGAGAGGUUGAACGGCCACAUUGGGACUGAGAUACGGCCCAGACUCCUACGGGAGGCAGCAGUGGGGAAUAUUGGGCAAUGGGCGCAAGCCUGACCCAGCAACGCCGCGUGAAGGAAGAAGGCUUUCGGGUUGUAAACUUCUUUUGUCAGGGACGAGUAGAAGACGGUACCUGACGAAUAAGCCACGGCUAACUACGUGCCAGCAGCCGCGGUAAUACGUAGGUGGCAAGCGUUGUCCGGAUUUACUGGGUGU